GACGAACGCUGGCGGCGUGCUUAAUACAUGCAAGUCAACUUGACUUUAGAUAGCAAUAUCGAAAAGUAGGGUGGCGCACGGGUGCGUAACGCGUAGGUAAUCUGCCCUGAGGUCUGACAUAACCCGUCGAAAGGCGGGCUAACAUCAGAUGAUAUAUAAUCACGACAUCGUGGAAAUAUCAAAUCUUCGGAGCCUUGGGAUGAGCCUGCGUCUGAUUAGGUAGUUGGCGGAGUAAUAGCCCACCAAGCCUACGAUCAGUAGCUGGUCUGAGAGGAUGAUCAGCCACACUGGAACUGAGACACGGUCCAGACUCCUACGGGAGGCAGCAGUAAGGAAUAUUGCUCAAUGGGGGAAACCCUGAAGCAGCAACGCCGCGUGAAGGAUGAAAUACUUUUGUAUGUAAACUUCUGUAAGAUGGGAAAAUAUUCUCCUCGGGAGAAUUGAUUGUACCAUCAGAGUAAGCCCCGGCUAACUACGUGCCAGCA
rnacentral:rRNA from 1 species